rnacentral:rRNA from 1 species
GUUUUUCGCUUGAGGAUGAGCCCGCGUGAGAUUAGCUAGUUGGUGAGGUAAUGGCUCACCAAGGCAACGACCUCUAGCUGGUCUGAGAGGAUGAUCAGCCACACUGGAACUGAGACACGGUCCAGACUCCUACGGGGGGCAGCAGUAGGGAAUAUUGCGCAAUGGAGGAAACUCUGACGCAGCGACGCCGCGUGAGUGAUGAAGGCCUUCGGGUCGUAAAGCUCUGUCGCAGGGGAAUAACACAAUG